rnacentral:rRNA from 1 species
UACGUAGGGUGCGAGCGUUGCCCGGAUUUAUUGGGCGUAAAGGGCGCGCAGGCGGCUACGCACGUCCGUUGUGAAAUCGCUCGGCUCAACUGGGGAGGGGUCAUUCGAUACUGAUCGACUCGAAGGCAGGAGAGGGUAGUGGAAUUCCCGGUGUAGUGGUGAAAUGCGUAGAUAUCGGGAGGAACACCAGUGGCGAAGGCGGCGGAAUCUGGGUCGAUACGUGACCGCCUGAGGUGCGAAAGCGUGGGGAGCAACAGGAU